rnacentral:rRNA from 1 species
AUUGAACGCUGGCGGCAGGCUUAACACAUGCAAGUCGAGCGAGCGGCGGACGGGUGAGUAAUGUCUGGGAACCUGCCUGAUGGAGGGGGAUAACUACUGGAAACGGUUGCUAAUACCGCAUACCAUCAUAUGUUCCCAGACGGGCUUAGCUAGUAGGUGGGGUAAUGGGUCACCUAGGCGAAGAUCCCUAGCUGGUCUGAGAGGAUGACCGGCCACACUGGAACUGAGACACGGUCCAGACGCCUACGGGAGGCAGCAGUGGGGAAUAUUGCACAAUGGGCGCAAGCCUGAUGCAGCGAUGGCGCGUGUGUGAAGAAGGCCUUCGGGUUGUAAAGCACGUUCAGCGAGGAGGCGUUACUCGCAGAAGAAGCACCGGCUAACUCCGUGCCAGCAGCCGCGGUAAUAC